GAUAUAGGUUAUGUUAUUGUCAUCCAAUUUGUGUUGUAAACAUAUUUUGAUCCAAUAAUUCAAUUUAAUUGAACGAAAUCAGUUCUUUUCUGAACAUAAUAUAGAUACUGAUGAUAAUAGUGACUCAGAACAAGUUGAAAAAUAACCUAAAUUAGAUGGUGGACUCUUAACUUUAUUGGAAAAGUAAAUAAGUACAUCAUUAAUGGCGAAAAUGAUUGAUAUUAUUAAUAAAAUUGUUGAGGAAUUGCAAAAUCAACAGUUAACCAUGCGUUUAAAGAAUAUAACGAUACUAGAAAGGGGUUACUCCUGAGUUUGAUGAAUUUAUCAAGGUCUUGAUUGUCAUGAACAAAAUUUAGAUUUAAAUAAGCUACUACCUUUCAGCAUAGUUAUGAAGAGAAAAUCUAUAAAUUUAAGGCAAACCGGACAAGAUAAAUUGUUUAGAGAUCAUAAUGUUUAAAAAAUGUUAAAAGUUAAAGGGUUGUAUUUCAAUCUGACGUUUAUUUUUUGGGAUAAAACCAUGAAACAAUUAUUAUACAUGGUGAAUUGAUGGUUGGAGGAAAUUAAUGGAUAAAAUUAUUUACAAACUACGAUUAAUUUAUGUAUUAAGAAUUAAUAAAAAUAAAUUAAAGUGUUACCGCCAUCUAUUAUCGCAACUUUGAAUCAUAAGAAACGUCAAAAUGAGAUCUGUCAAAGAAAUUAUAUAUAAAUA